rnacentral:rRNA from 1 species
CGGUCGGGUGUGUAACGCGUAGGCAACCUGCCCCAUACAGAGGGAUAGCCUCGGGAAACCGGGAUUAAAACCUCAUAACACGAGAAGUUCACAUGGACUUUUCGCCAAAGAUUUAUCGGUAUGGGAUGGGCCUGCGUCUGAUUAGCUAGUUGGUAAGGUAACGGCUUACCAAGGCAACGAUCAGUAGCCGACCUGAGAGGGUAAUCGGCCACAUUGGAACUGAGACACGGUCCAAACUCCUACGGGAGGCAGCAGUGGGGAAUAUUGCACAAUGGGCGAAAGCCUGAUGCAGCAACGCCGCGUGAGCGAUGAAGGCCUUUGGGUCGUAAAGCUCUGUCCUUGGGGAAGAAAAAAAUGACGGUACCCUUGGAGGAAGCCCCGGCUAACUACGUGCCAGCAGCCGCGGUAAUACGUAGGGCGCAAGCGUUAUCCGGAAUUAUUGGGCGUAAAGAGCUCGUAGGCGGUUUGUCGCGUCUGCCGUGAAAGUCCGGGGCUCAACUCCGGAUCUGCGGUGGGUACGGGCAGACUAGAGUGAUGUAGGGGAGACUGGAAUUCCUGGUGUAGCGGUGAAAUGCGCAGAUAUCAGGAGGAACACCGAUGGCGAAGGCAGGUCUCUGGGCAUUAACUGACGCUGAGGAGCGAAAGCAUGGGGAGCGAACAGGAUUAGAUACCCUGGUAGUCCAUGCCGUAAACGUUGGGCACUAGGUGUGGGGGACAUUCCACGUUUUCCGUACCGUAGCUAACGCAUUAAGUGCCCCGCCUGGGGAGUACGGCCGCAAGGCUAAAACUCAAAGGAAUUGACGGGGGCCCGCACAAGCGGCGGAGCAUGCGGAUUAAUUCGAUGCAACGCGAAGAACCUUACCAAGGCUUGACAUGAACCGGAAAUACCUGGAAACAGGUGCCCCGCUUGCGGUCGGUUUACAGGUGGUGCAUGGUUGUCGUCAGCUCGUGUCGUGAGAUGUUGGGUUAAGUCCCGCAACGAGCGCAACCCUCGUUCUAUGUUGCCAGCGCGUUAUGGCGGGGACUCAUAGGAGACUGCCGGGGUCAACUCGGAGGAAGGUGGGGACGACGUCAAAUCAUCAUGCCCCUUAUGUCUUGGGCUUCACGCAUGCUACAAUGGCCGGUACAAAGGGUUGCGAUACUGUGAGGUGGAGCUAAUCCCAAAAAGCCGGUCUCAGUUCGGAUUGGGGUCUGCAACUCGACCCCAUGAAGUCGGAGUCGCUAGUAAUCGCAGAUCAGCAACGCUGCGGUGAAUACGUUCCCGGGCCUUGUACACACCGCCCGUCAUG